UGCCGCCGUGACGUGCAUCUCGUGUGGAAAUCCCCGCGGCCAUUGCCGUACCGGGGCUGGUGAAGAGGCGCUUCAUCCCACAACAGCCCUUUCCCCGGGGAGGCAGGCCUGUGGUUCCCUUUGUUCCUGGCUCCAGGACUGAGGAGGGCUGCUGGACAUGCUGAAGGAUUAUGAUAGUUCUGUUGCUGCCUUAGCUGUCCUGUACCAUGCCUGGCCAUGAGCGCUGAGUGAACGUUGCUGAGCAGGCUGGUCCGUACUCAGCCAUCAGGCCUGCAUUCUCCAACAGAUUCAUCAAGCUGGCAGCGUAAUGAUGGAGCUGUUAGGUACCUGUAGAGUCCCACACCAAGGGUGUCCGACCACCUUGCAUUUGGCUGAGAAAAUCUGUCCUUGCAGCAGUCCUGCAGGAGGGUUGUGAAGUCCUGCGGACUAAGCAGUUUGGAUUGGGUUCUUGUGUCAUCUGAGGUGAACGGCUAAUCCUGGUGCCAGGAUACAGAUAUCUACUUGAAAAGAAGAGUGGCUCUUGAUUUUUGGCAGAUAAAACAUAUUCCAUUGGGUGGAAGUUGGACCCUGAAUCAAGGCAUACAUUUUUAAGCGAAGGAAAAAAAAAAGGUGUUAAAACAAUUGCGUGGUUCUAUCUCACUACUUCAUUCCCUGGCAGGGGAGCUGUACACUUUAGCUGCUGUUCUCUGGUAUGGCCUUGCCAAUGUCAGCAGGGCUCACAUGGCCACCUCUUGCCCUCUGCAUUGGCAGUGGUUGCUGGCUGAGUCACCUGUUUCUGCUGGACACAAGUUGUUGUGCUCACUGCAAGACAUAGCAACUGAAAGUCUCUGGCCUGCCUUACAGGAGGUCUGACAGAGUGACCAUAACAACCCUUUCUGCCCUGGAAAUCUCUGAAUUCCUGGUAGGCUAAGAAAUGACACCGUACUUGCAUAGCUGAGUGUUGCUAAACCCAUCUUCUUUUGAGGCUUGCAAAACAAAUAGAUAUCCAAGAGAAGAUGGUACUAAUUGCUGCUGUAAUGACAUACUCAGCUUCUGUUCUUACAGGUUCUACAAAGCUUGUUUUGGGGAGACUUUUUUUAAGCUAUUUGGGGAAGAACAGACAAGCUUUUGGCACACGGUUCUACAUCAAAUCUCUUCAGUUUUGCCAGGCUCUGUUUAUUUGUAGGGACCCUGUAUAUUGUAGAGACCGCUGCCUGUUUCUGAUGAUCCCCUAGAAUGGAAACUUGAACCAAUGGUUUUUGUAAUGAAUGUGCAAUAAAUCUGUGG